GGGGAAUAUUGCACAAUGGGCGCAAGCCUGAUGCAGCCAUGCCGCGUGUAUGAAGAAGGCCUUCGGGUUGUAAAGUACUUUCAGCGAGGAGGAAGGGGGAAUGGUUAAUAACCAUUUUCAUUGACGUUACUCGCAGAAGAAGCACCGGCUAACUCCGUGCCAGCAGCCGCGGUAAUACGGAGGGUGCAAGCGUUAAUCGGAAUUACUGGGCGUAAAGCGCACGCAGGCGGUCUGUCAAGUCGGAUGUGAAAUCCCCGGGCUCAACCUGGGAACUGCAUUCGAAACUGGCAGGCUAGAGUCUUGUAGAGGGGGGUAGAAUUCCAGGUGUAGCGGUGAAAUGCGUAGAGAUCUGGAGGAAUACCGGUGGCGAAGGCGGCCCCCUGGACAAAGACUGACGCUCAGGUGCGAAAGCGUGGGGAGCAAAC
rnacentral:rRNA from 1 species